rnacentral:lncRNA from 1 species
CGUGAAUUCAAUAAUAAUAAAAUAAAAAACAUAAUUAUUAUUCUGCAAUGCUGAAGGAAGGACAGAGGAUAAGGAUGCUUUCAGUGAUUCUUUUGCGUUCGAUGGUGAUGGAAGGUAAGGCCAUAGGAUAAGGAUGUUUCACUAAUUUAUUUAUUUUUUUAUAAAGGGAUGUUUCAAUAAUUUAGUCCAAGCUGCUAUAUUAUAUACUACUAUCAAACAAACAAGCAUCGAAUUGUUGUCUAUCUAUUAAACAAGCAUUCAGUUAUAGAGUUGGUUGGGAAUAUUUAU